rnacentral:lncRNA from 1 species
AUGAAUAAUAUAUGUAAUAAAAAAGGUAUGCAAGAAAAAUAUAUUAUAAAUGUUAGUACAGCUAUUGAACAUAAACAAGAUGUAAAAAUUGGAAAUGUAAACAAAACGUUAACAAAUAAUACAAAACCAUUUGAAAAAAACAGUUAUACUGAUAAAACAUUGAAUACUAGCACUAGCACUAGUAUUAACACUAGUACUAACAGUAGUAUAGUCCGUAACCAUGGGAUAAAUAAAAUCAUAAAUAAAAACCCUGCUAACUUAAAUGUUAGUUCUAAAUUAAAAAAUGAUAAAACUAUAACUUAUCUUAAAUAUGAAGAAAUAACAGAUUUUCAUUAUGAAAUAAAUAAUGAUAAUAUAAAUGAUAUGAUUACAAAACUAGUUGAAAUUACAAAAGAUCAAGAAUGGACUGAACAAAUAAAUAAUUUAAUUAAUCUUAGAAUUAUUUUAAAAUAUCAUGACAAAUUAUUUUUCGACAAUCAUAAAAAAGAUUUAAGAAAAAUAUGUAGAGCAAUUAUAGAAUUAGUUAAUAGUGCAAGAUCAAGCGUUUCAAAAAAUGCUUUAUUAUGUUUAUCCGAAUUUUAUUCUAUUGGAAAAAAAAGAAUGGACAGUACGUUAGAUGAUGUUAUUAUGCCUUGUUUAAAAAAAGCCUAUCAAACAUCUAUUGACUUUUUAAGUAGUUCUGCAAAUAAUGCAUUGCUGGCUAUUUGUAAUGCAUGUACUGAGGGGAAAUUAAUUUCCCAUUUUGUUAAGAUCGCCACGGCGAAACAAAAAACAUAUAAUUUAAUAUGUCUGAAAUGCUUAAUCGCUGUAAUUAUCAAAUUCGAAAAUGGCAUUUCUCAAUAUAAGGAAAUGAAUAAGCUAAUAGAAGCACUAUUGGAGUGUACGUCAUAUGGAAGUGCCGAAAUAAAGUGUACAGCGAGAGUCGCAUUGGUUGUAUUGGACAAUGUAUGUCCAAUCAAACCCUUAGUUAAUAAAUUGCACAUACCUGUGGAUAAAAUUAAAAAGGUAAGAAGAAAAAACUCAAAUUGAAAUUUUAUAUACACAAAUUUUACUUGUUAUAUUUUUAAAAUCAUUCUAUUUUUUUCACAUUUAUCAUUUAUCACUAUUUUUCUUUUUUUUUUUAUUUUUUUUUUUUUUAAAUAAUCAUAGAUAACAAAUUUGAUAAGCCGUACGUCAGAAAAUGAAAUUGAUACAGUAUUGAGCAAAAUUAAUUUUAUUUAAACUCUUUAAAUUUGUUAGACCAUUGUAUUUAUUAGUUAUUAAUAACCUUUAUUUUUUUUUAACUUCACUAGUUUGGUUACUUUUUUUUUUUUUUUUUUUAUCAUAAUAUGUACAUAUUUGUGUGUGUUUACAUGUGUAUAUAUACAUAUGUAUAUAUAUGCAUGAGUAUAUGUUUACAAAUGCUUUAUUAUUUUAUCUGUUCGUAAUAAUAUAGUGUUUUUUUUUUUUUUAGUGUAGAAAAAAAUAAUAUGUUUUUAAUUAUAAUAAUAAACUGAAAUAUUUUAAAAUGCUUAAGAAUUUG